AUCGACCUGAACUCAGACGUGGGU
rnacentral:rRNA from 1 species